CCUACGGGAGGCAGCAGUGAGGAAUAUUGGUCAAUGGGCGAGAGCCUAAACCAGCCAAGUCGCGUGAGGGAGUACUGCCCUAUGGGUUGUAAACCUCUUUUGUCGGGGAGCAAAAGCCGGACGUGUCCGGCUGUGAGAGUACCCGAAGAAAAAGCAGCGGCUAACUCCGGGCCAGCAGCCGCGGGAAUACGGAGGAUGCGAGCGUUCUCCGGAUUUAUUGGGUUUAAAGGGUGCGCAGGCGGAUUUUUAAGUCAGCGGGCAAAUCGUGGGGCUCAACCCCAUCCAGCCGUUGAAACUGGGGAUCUAGAGUGUGCGAGCGGUAUGCGGAAUGCGUGGUGUAGCGGUGAACUGCAUAGAUAUCACGCAGCACCCCGAUUGCGAAGGCAGCAUACCGGUGCACAACUGACGCUCAGGCACGAAAGCGUGGGUAUCGAACAGGAUUAGAUACCCUAGUAGUC
rnacentral:rRNA from 1 species